rnacentral:rRNA from 1 species
AGAACGAACGCUGGCGGCAGGCCUCAAACAUGCAAGUCUAGGGGGUGUAGCAAUACAUCACCGGCGGACGGGUGCGUAACACGUGGGAAUGUACCUACUGGUUCGGAACAACGCAGGGAAACUUGCGCUAAUACCGAAUAAGCCCGAAAGGGGAAAGAUUUAUCGCCAGUAGAUCAGCCCGCGUAGGAUUAGCUAGUUGGUGGGGUAAUGGCCCACCAAGGCUCCGAUCCUUAGCUGUUCUGAGAGGAAGAUCAGCCACACUGGGACUGAGACACGGCCCAGACUCCUACGGGAGGCAGCAGUUGGGAAUCUUGGACAAUGGGGGAAACCCUGAUCCAGCCAUGCCGCGUGAGUGAUGAAGGCCUUCGGGUUGUAAAACUCUUUCGACGGGGACGAUAAUGACGGUACCCGUAGAAGAAGCUCCGGCUAACUUCGCGCCAGCAGCCGC